CCGAGCGUGGCCCCCCUAAAACUUUAAGGGGGGUGCCUCCCGUCCUUUGCGGGCCCCUUGGGGCUUUCAGACUUUGCUUCGGCGGGACUGCCCCGCCGGAACACCCUCAAGAAAAUCUCGAUAAAACCGUUCCGUCCGAGGUUGCUACAAUAAGAACA
rnacentral:misc_RNA from 1 species